GCCCGGAUGGUGAAAUUGGUAGACACGCUAGGUUCAGGGUCUAGUGCCGGUAACGGUGUGAAGGUUCAAGUCCUUUUCCGGGCA
rnacentral:tRNA from 1 species